rnacentral:lncRNA from 10 species
UUGGUGCACUGCCCCAGAGGAUGAAGGCCCUCUGGACCAGAAGCACCCACCCAGAUGAUUCAGCAACAGGACUGAGGGUGCCUGGGGCAAGCGCUAGCUCAUGCCAUCACCCUCACAGAGCCCCGGGAUCAAGGCCAUCAAGCUACAGAUGAUCUUACACAUGGAACCUCACAUGAGCUCAACUCACGUUUCUACCAAGGACCCCUGGAUCCACCCGCUGGUCCCUCACUGGCCUAAAAAGUUCUCCUCUGGAAGACACCACAACUACAGGUCCCCUUCUUUGCCCCUAACCAGCAGGAAGUAGUCAGAAUGACCGCCGCCCAGUUCCCAACAGCAGUUGGUGUGUCCUAUCUAGAGGGGGGACUGAGGAGGUUCCAGCUGGGCUUCCUGGGUUGAGUAGGGGCUCAGAAAGCUGCGAAACUCACUCAUUUCCUACAUCAGACUUACUUUGGCCCUGGAUGAAUAAUAAUAUUGAAGAUAUAUGCUUAAAACAUUCCUAACAUCAGAAUUUGUGCAUGUGUUUUCUUCCCCCAAGAAAGCUAUAAAAAGUGAAACUUUUGCUGUAGGCUUACCUGUGUCCGUCCUCCCUCUCUCCGUUCCCCCUCCCCUGAAACUAAAAGGAAUGUUAAAAGUCAGUUUUUCUGUGACCAGCAGACCUUAUCUAUGCUCCCAAUUCCAAUUCCUUGUAAACACAAUUUGUAAAAUCCUGUGAGAUUCUGUCCCUUUUGCCAUGCCACUGCAAGGUUAUAAAGUAGAUAAAACUUAAGUUAUAAUUCUGGUUUUCCUCAAGACCUAAGACAUGUUAAUUGUCAUUGUUUCUUUCUCUGGAAACAUCUUCCAGCCACAUGUAUUUCCCGACUUAAAAGAGUUUAAAAGGUGAUCAAAAAAUCUAACACUGGCUACCCGCUCGGGACCCCUUCCACACUGUGGAAGCUUUGUACUGUCACUAUGCUCAACAAAGCCUACAGCUUUUUUUUCUCUUGGUUUAUCCCUGUCUCUCUCUCACUGAGGGCUGCCGCCACACCAAAUCUUUGGUGUGGCUAAGUUAAGAACCUUUGGUGUUACACAAAUAUCAGUAACAUUUGUUUAUACCAACAACAUCCAAGCUGAGAGCCAAAUCAAGAAUGCACUAUCAUUUACAACAGCCACAUAUAAAAUACCUAGAAAUACAGCUAACCAGGGAGGUGAGAAAUCUCUGCCCUAAACAUUACAAAAUGCUGUUGAAAAAAUUAGAAACAGCAUCAACAAAAAGAAAUGUAUUUCAUGCUCAAUUAUAGAAAGAAUUAAUAUUUUUAAAAUGACCAUACUGCCCAAAGUAAUUUACUGACUCAGUGCUAUUUCUAUCAAACUACCAUGAACAUUUUCAAUGCAAUUGGAAAAAAAAUUCUAAAAUUCCUAUGAAACCAAAAAUAGCCCAAAAGUCAAAACAGAUCUAAGCACAAAAACAAAGCCAGAGGCAUCACAAUACCCAACUUCACACUCUAAUACAAGGCUACAGUAACUGAAACAGCCUGGUACUGGUACAAAAACAAACACAUAGACCAAUGGAACCAGUUAAAGCACCCAGAAAUAAAGCCUUACACCUACAGUCAUCUGAUUUAAACAAAGUCAAUAAGAACAAACAAUGGGGAAAUAACUCACUCUUCAAUAAAUGGUGCUACAUAACUGGCUAGCCAUAUGCAGAACACUGAAACUAGAUAUCUUCUUUUUACCAUAUGCAAAAACCAACUGAAGAUGAGUUAAAGAUGUAAAUGUUUAACUAAUAUGGUUUGGCUGUGUCCCCACCCAAAUCUCAUCUUCAAUUGUGGCUCCCACAAUUACCACGUGUUGUGGGAAGGAUCCAGCAAGAGGUAAUUUAAUCAUAGGGGUGGGUCUUUCCCAUAUUGUUUUUUUGAUAGUAAAUAAGUCUCAUGAGAUAUAAUGGUUCUAUAUAAAGGGGAAUUUCCCUACAUAAGCUCUCUUACCUGCCGCUGUGUAAGAUGUGACUUUGCUCCUCAUUCACCUUCCGCCAUAAUUGUGAGAUUUCCCUGGUUAUGUGAAACUGUGAGUCCAUUAAAACUCUUUCCUUUAUAAAUUAGCUUUGGGUGUGUCUUUUUUAACAGCAUGAGAAUAGAUUAAUACAGUAAAUUGGUACUAGGUAGUGGGGUACUGCUGUAUAGAUAUCAGGAAAUAUGGAAGCAACUUUGGAACUGGGUAACAGGCAGAGUUUGAAAUAGUUUGGAAGACUCAGAAGAAAACAGAAAG